AAUCGGGAUGAUCCUUUGUGUCGGGAGAGUUGCCAUUUAGAGAAGACCCCUCAACUUGCAGCAUGUCCUUAAACAAAGGACCUUCGCUAUCCACCACAUCACCUGAGGCCUCCCCCGAGCCAUCCACCACAUCACCUGAGGCCUCCCCCGAGCCAUCCACCACAUCACCUGAGGCCUCCCCCGAGCCAUCCACCACAUCACCUGAGGCCUCCUCCGAGCCAUCCACCUCAACACCUGAGGCCUCCCCCGAGCCAUCCACCUCAUCACCUGAGUCCUCCGUCCAGCCAACCACCUCAGAUUCUCCACCUCCCAGUUUACCGGUUCUGUCCACCCCUCCAGCCUCCAUGAUGCCGCCCUCUCCUCUGUCCCGCACAGGCCAGAAAAAAAAGCAAAGGGAGCAGGACGGCGUGGAGAUUGCGCGGCCGGAACAACGCAAGAUGGACUUGCAUAACAACAAUGAAAUGGAUGAGAGGUAGAGAUUUUGCGAUAUGAUGGCUGACAUGGUGAGGAGGGUGCGAGAAAAGAAUAGGCCUGAAGCCAUGCAAAAACUGUACUGCAUGGCGUUCGAAUUACAAAAGAACUGAAUGCCAGACACUAUUCUUUGUAUGCAUUUUGUAAAUAGUUCAGUAUUUUGUAUAGUUUGUAUUGUUUUGCACUAAAAUAUAUUUUGCAUACUUCUUAAAGGGCUUCGAUUAAAUCAUCACACUUUUUGUUAAAUUCAGGGAAAUUCUCAUCACAUUCCUCUAGCUGUCUGCCCAGUGUGUGUGCUCAAACUUGUGUUAGUAUACUGGCUCUGUAAGUGAGAAACAGGCUAAGUGGAGAGAGGAGAAGGGGAGGGGAAACAGUCAGGAACAUGGCAGAUGAAAUCAUACACGUAUCAGGAUGAGCAUGCUAGCAUACAUAUGAUAAAUGUACACAGCAUACAUAUGGUA
ensembl:lncRNA